rnacentral:rRNA from 1 species
GAUGAACGCUGGCGGCGUGCCUAACACAUGCAAGUCGAGCGAACGGACGAGAAGCUUGCUUUUCUGAUGUUAGCGGCGGACGGGUGAGUAACACGUGUAUAAUCUACCUAUAAGACUGGUAUAACUUCGGGAAACCGGAGCUAACAGCGGAUAAUAUUUUGAACCGCAUGGUUCAAAAGUGAAAUACGGUCUUGCUGUCACUUAUAGAUGGAUCCGCGCUGCAUUAGCUAGUUGGGAAGGUAACGGCUUACCAAGGCAACGAUGCGUAGACGACGUGUGAGGGUGGUCGCCCGCACGGGAGCUGGGCCGCCGACCAGGCGCCUGCGGGACGGCGCAGUAGGCAAUGGUCCGCAGCGGGCGGGAAUCUUGCACAACGGCGCGAAGUGAGAUGUAGAAAUCCUCGGUUCGUGAAGCUCUCUUACGAGGUGAAAACAUAUUUGUAAGUUGCUGUACAGAUAGUGACGGUAACUGGUAAGGAAGCAACGGCUAACUACGUG